GAUGAACGCUGGCGGCGUGCCUAAUACAUGCAAGUCGAGCGAACGGACGAGAAGCUUGCUUUUCUGAUGUUAGCGGCGGACGGGUGAGUAACACGUGGAUAACCUACCUAUAAGACUGGGAUAACUUCGGGAAACCGGAGCUAAUACCGGAUAAUAUUUUGAACCGCAUGGUUCAAAAGUGAAAGACGGUCUUGCUGUCACUUAUAGAUGGAUCCGCGCUGCAUUAGCUAGUUGGUAAGGUAACGGCUUACCAAGGCAACGAUGCAUAGCCGACCUGAGAGGGUGAACGGCCAAACUGGAACUGAGACACGGUCCCAACUCCUUAGGGAAGCAGGAGUAGGGAAUCUUCCGGAAUGGGCGAAAGCCUGACGGAGCAACGCCGCGUGAGUGAUGAAGGUCUUCGGAUCGUAAAACUCUGUUAUUAGGGAAGAACAUAUGUGUAAGUAACUGUGCACAUCUUGACGGUACCUAAUCAGAAAGCCACGGCUAACUACGUG
rnacentral:rRNA from 1 species